CGUGUGGUACUUUGUUGAGUAAAAUAAUUUAUUCAAACAGAGCAGCGACACGGACCAAUAGAGGU
rnacentral:ncRNA from 1 species